GCCUCCUUGGCUCAGUUGGUUAGAGCGCCGGUCUCAUAAGCCGGAGAUCGAGAGUUCGAGCCUCUCAGGAGGCA
rnacentral:tRNA from 1 species